UACGUAGGGAGCGAGCGUUGUCCGGAAUCACUGGGCGUAAAGGGCGCGUAGGCGGUUAUUUAAGUCAGAUGUGAAAAACCGAGGCUCAACCUCGGCCUUGCAUUUGAAACUGGAUAACUUGAGGAUGAGAGAGGAAAGUGGAAUUCCUAGUGUAGCGGUGAAAUGCGUAGAUAUUAGGAGGAACACCAGUGGCGAAGGCGACUUUCUGGCUCAUACCUGACGCUGAGGCGCGAAAGCGUGGGGAGCAAACAGG
rnacentral:rRNA from 1 species